UCCCGGGUAGGCAUAAUCGUGAACGAAAUCUGAUAACUGACACGGAUGAGAGACUUACUGGAUGACAGAUUACCAGAGAAUGAAUAGAGAUGAGCUGAAGAAUUUUCAGGUGACCCAUAUCAUUAAGUGACCAAAUAAGUAAAUGAGGGUGAUAACAAAAUGGAAAUAAUGAUGGUAGGGCAUGAAAAGAGUUGAAUAUGGAGUCAUGAAUGGACUGGGUAGUAGUGUGGUAUAAUGAGAACAACAGAUGACAAACACUAGAGAGUAAAUAUUAAAUAAGAUUAAACUGUAGACUAAUCCACAUCUUUCUGUACGCUGUUUCCUUUUGUGUGGUGUGUGUGUGUGGUCUGUGUUGGUCGUGAUGAUGUGAAUCAGCUGACUAAUGAUCAGUCAGCAGAGUGGACCGGAUAACAGAGGGUCCAAAGGGGAGUAAAUUUCCUGGAUGUGUGCUGUAUAUGAGGCCAGAGGUGUGGCCAAGAAAGGAAGGCUCGGAAGGGCUGUGUCUGGUAUGCUAAGUGCAAGCUGUAUGUGUGUGCAUGGCCCUUGUGGUCGGUGUGCGUGCAUUACAUUCUGGUGUUACCAAUACAGAUAGAGAGCUGGGCCGGUGGAGCUGAGAGUUGAAUCUAGUGGAAAUGAAGUUAAAGGAUAAUAGAGAGGAGUGUAAUGAUGAAAAAGAAAAGCGGAGAUAUAAUUAGGUGAAUUAAGCAGUUGUGUUGAGUGAUCUCGUUGAUUUGUAUAUACUGUUUAAUGUUUUCAAUUUGCUAGAAAAAGCGUUGCAUAUAUAUAUAUAAACUCCAGAAUGGAUGAGAACGGAUAGUGCAGGUAAGCAGUAUAGUUCUGCAAAUAGGUGAAAAUGUAAGCAAGCUAAAUGUGGGUCAUUUUGUUUAAUUUGCAUAAUCUGUUAUGGAGCUUGAAAUGACUUGAAAGUGGCUGGAAGAAACAUGCAGGAUGGAAAUAAGAGGAAAUUACAGGUAAGUGAUUUGAGUUGAGGAAAACACCCACUGGGUGAAUGAGUUUCUGCACUGUAAUGCAAAUUCUGGUUGCUUGAGGUGCUGACUUGAGCUUACUGAGUGUCUUAUGCUCGUCCUAUUAAUCUAAUGUUAUUUUUCCAGAUCAAAUCAAACAGGAAGAUGAUCCCGAUCCAGUUAACGUUGUCUCGGAAGCUUAGAGAAAAAGAAAACUAAAGUUGUGUAGGAGUGGGAUGUGAUAGAGGUUCAUACAGUAUAUGGGAAUACAAAUACAAUGCAGCUGAAAUUAAAAAAAAAAAUAGAGAGAGGCAGUAGGUAAGCUAGUAAAAGGUUAUACCUUCAGUUGGUGGGAUUGGAUAAGAUAUGAUUGUAUGAUUAUGUUAUCAUAUAUAUUUUCCUGAUAUGAAUGAAUAUAAGCAUCUGUAUAUUGGUAUUGGGGUUGGGUCUUUACAAUUGGUAUCAGAGCAAACGUUCUUAGGAUCAUCCCUGGUACAUGAGACUUAAGAACGGUAAGAUCAAUUUAAUCUUUGAACCUGAAACUUAAAUGGUUGCGUUUAAAUUCCCGCAUUGUGAUAUUGUGAUUAAAUUGUAGAUCCAUGAAAUAUGAUGUAUGCAAAUUGAUGCUGUUGGUCCGAAUGUCUUAAUUUUUGAAGUUUUGUAGACCAAAUGAUGAGUGAAAGGGAUAAGAAAAACGAGUGGUGUAAAACCCUUGAGAGAUGUAAGAUUUUAGGUGAUCUGAAGUGGUACAUCGAUUUGAUAUAACAAGAUACCGGUUCAGUGUUGAUCUGAAGCGUAGUGGUUACCUAAAGGAGUCAACUAGAUCCGUCAAACCAAGUAGAAAAAAAGGGGGAAACUAGGUGGAUUUAGGAUGUGAAUGCAGAGGGAUUUUUAGGAGAUAACAAUUGAAUGGUGGAAUAAUAUAAUGCAAGAAUGUGAGACUUCAAGAAUGGUGGAUGUUUGGAAUGGGAGUGAGGUUAUAAAAAUCAAAUUGGAGGCUAGAUGAAGAUACUUUAGAGGAAUUGGUGAGAUGAGGUAGAGAUUGUGUUGAGGUUAUAGAGAGAAGGGGUAUAGUACUCAGGAUCAGUAGAAAGGCUGCAGAUACAGCAGGGUGUGAGUGGGGAGUGAGCCGGUGAGAGGAGGGCAGAAGCCUGAGAGCACAGGUAAGCUGGUAUGGGUGUAGAGAAAACGGAAAAAAAAAAAAAAAAAAAAGAGAAAAUGAGAACGGAGAAAGGAAAGGGUGAUUGGAGCAGGGGAAGGAGUUUAUUAAAUUUUGAGGAGAAUUCCUUACAACCUGAGUGGAGAUAAUUUAGAAGAUGAAAAAAAUAAAUAAAAAAAUAAAAUGCCAAGGAGGACAGUCUUGAGCGGGAGACAGACCUUCCGCUUGAAACUGCAGUCGGUAAAUAAGAAAAAAAAAAAGAAAAAAAAAAGGAAAUAAUAGGAAUGAGAGGAUGAAUAGCACCGUCAGAAAGUAUGGAACAAGAAAAAGAGAGAAGAGAAAAAGCUGGGACAUGUCGAGCGGCCAAGGGUGAUCGAGGGACAGGUGUUGGAAUUUAUUGGCAAUGGGACUGUAAUGGCUGAACAGAAAUAUGUAUCUAGCAUGUAGUGAUUUUAUUUUGUGCACAAGCAAGUGUAAGUGGGGGCCCACCGAGUGAGAAUGUGUGUGUAUAUGUUUAUACAUAUACAUACCUAUAAAUUAUACUUAAUAUAAUAAUGGCUUGAAUGUAUGACUGGGCAUGUGAUAAAUUGCUGUCUGCAUCAUAGGCAUGAUGGUGUGGCAGGGUCGGCCGAGAGGCAGUUGCUGCAAUGAGUACAUAUUUAUAAAUAUAUGACUUGUAUAUAUAACAAAAUGGCUGAAUAAAUGUAUAACUUGGCAUGUGAUAGUUUCCUGCUUGCAUAAUAGGCGUGAAUGGUGGCCGGGUUGGCCGAGAGGCACUUUUUGCCGUGCAUAUAUAUAUAUAUAUAUUUAUUUAUUUGUAGGGAGAUGUUUUAUAAUGGCUGAGUAAACAGACAUGCUAAAUUUGCUGUGUGGUAAGUGUGUGCGGUGUAUGGUUGAUUGUGAAGUAGUGGAAUGAAUUCUGUGAAGAUAAUGAUCUCCUUAUGAUGAUUAGGUUCUGUAAAAAGCCUUGCUGUAUAGUGCCUGUGUUUUGUGCGUGACGUUGGUUACUUUAGGAUGGAGGCGUAACAUUCAGCAGAGUCAAGAAAGGUGAGGAAUUAGGAAAGGUUUAGGCUGGAAAGAAUGCAGACUCGUUAUGCACUCAGUUAGGCUUCAGUUGAGACUUAAACUCAAUAAGAUUCCAGAGGGGAGAUAAAUUGAAAUGGUGACGGGGGAAUGCUGGACAGAUUUUGGGAGAUUCAACUGAACUGAAAAUUUAAUUAGACAGUCAAGCAAGAACAAAUCCAGGAGCUUCCGGAGCCUGGUCAUGCCCUGGAAUGUGUGCAGAACUAGCUUUAAUGACAACUUCAGAUUGGAUGCAAUUAUUGUAAGUUAGCCAGGCUAGAUAAUGAGAAGAACGAUGUUGUUGAGGUUACAAUUGUUAGAAAAACGUUAUGUUACGUAUAUGAGAUAGGAGGGACAUUGUCCGUUCAUAUGAUCUUGUAUACCGAUGAUUUGAAACUAAUGGAAAUACGUUUGACAACACA